rnacentral:misc_RNA from 1 species
GUGCAAUCGUCUUAGCCGUUA